AUUGAACGCUGGCGGCAUGCUUUACACAUGCAAGUCGAACGGUAACAGGCCGCAAGGUGCUGACGAGUGGCGAACGGGUGAGUAAUGCAUCGGAACGUGCCCAGUCGUGGGGGAUAACGCAGCGAAAGCUGCGCUAAUACCGCAUACGACCUAUGGAUGAAAGCGGGGGAACGUAAGGCCUCGCGCGAUUGGAGCGGCCGAUGUCAGGUUAGGUAGUUGGUGGGGUACAGGCUCACACCGCCAACGAUCUGUAGCUGGUCUGAGAGGACGACCAGCCACACUGGGACUGAGACACGGCCCAGACUCCUACGGGAGGCAGCAGUGGGGAAUUUUGGACAAUGGGCGCAAGCCGGCUCCAGCGAUGCCGCGUGCAGGAAGAAGGCCUUCGGGUUGUAAACUGCUUUUGUCAGGGAAGAAAUCUUCUGGGUUAAUACCUCGGGAGGAUGACGGUACCUGAAGAAUAAGCACCGGCUAACUACGUGCCAGCAGCCGCGGGAAGAC
rnacentral:rRNA from 1 species